AGACAAUCACAUCACUCUGUGAACAGUGAGAAAAUCUCCAGCAGUAGGUAUGUAUUAGAUAUUUAUGUAAUAUUGAAUGAGUUAAAAUGUCAAACAUGAAAUUAUGAACUUCCCCUUUGAAACUAGAGGGUUUGGAGAGGACACGGAUCACUUGAAUGAUUUGUAACUUUACGAGAUUGUAGUCCCCCUAGAUUUAGACCACUCCUGUCUACUCCCCAUUUGUACAUCCUGAUGACUUUGGAAGAGUCACCAAAUUUCAGCAUUUAACUCCAACCAAAAAUUAAGCUAAAGACGAUAAGCAUGCCUAGCAGCAGUAAAAAUGUGAAUAGGGAUUUUUACGCUAUGCAGAGGAUAUAAAUGGAGUGACAUUGUAUGUGGUAGGUUGACAAAUAGUUUUAUGAAUACAUUUUAUACUUAUGCUUACAGUCUUUAAAAAAAUAUACUGAGUUUUGUUUCUUUCUUAUUGCUGCUUAGGGAAGACUUCUUAAUUGAUGACUCAGACUCUGAGGAUGACAUACGUCAUGUUGGGCUCCCCUGUUAGAACCUAUGUUGACAUGAAGGUGCAUGUGGCCAGUAUAUUAAGAACCUUCCAGAUGGAAAACCUCAAAGAGGACAGCAAAUUCACAGUAGUUGCACGACGGAAGAAAAUACUGCAUAGUGUCUGUGCGCCUUGGCAAAAAGUUACUUUGCAUGGCAUAAAAAAACAGUCAUUGAAUUUGUUGGUGAAACAGCUGAUGAUUAUGGCAGACCUCAAAGAGAGUUCUUCAGUUCUUUGAACUUCCCCUUCUUUAUGAUAGAUUGUUAAUGAUUGAAGUCCAGACAUUGCUUGGAGUUUUUGAAGGUUUGGAAGAAAAUCGUUUUUUCACAUAUGACCAGGCAGCUUUGGACAGCACCAAAUUCUAUACAGCUGGCAAGCUUAUAGCUUGGUCUAUAAUUCAUGGUGGGCCAGGAAUUAAAGCCUUGGAUCCUCAUUUGUUCCAGCUGAUGUGUGGGCAGACAGUAAAACUGGAAAAGUUUAAAAGCCAUCAUUUUCCAGAUGUUGAUAUUCAUGAAAAGAUUAGUCAGGUAAUUUUUAAAUUGUUUUAUCUAUGGGCAGGACUGCAUUUGCAUCAUUUGACAAACACUAAUAUCUUUUAAUUCUCAGA